GAUGAAGAACGCAGUGAAAUGCGAUAAGUAAUGUGAAUUGCAGAAUUCAGUGAAUCAUCGAAUCUUUGAACGCACAUUGCGCCCGCCAGCACUCUGGCGGGCAUGCCUGUUCGAGCGUCAUUUCAACCAUCAAGCCCCCAGGGGCUUGUGCUUGGGCCCUGCGGCUGCCCGCAGGCCCUGAAAACCAGUGGCGGGCUCGCUAGUCACACCGAGCGCAGUAGCACAUCUCGCUCAGGGCGUGCGGCGGGCUCCUGCCGUGAAACCCCCCACUGUAACCCCAAAGGUUGACCUCGGAUCAGGUAGGAAUACCCGCUGAACUUAAGCAUAUCAAUAAGCGGAGGA
rnacentral:misc_RNA from 1 species